rnacentral:rRNA from 1 species
GUGGGGAAUAUUGGACAAUGGGCGAAAGCCUGAUCCAGCCAUGCCGCGUGUGUGAAGAAGGUCUUCGGAUUGUAAAGCACUUUAAGUUGGGAGGAAGGGCAUUAACCUAAUACGUUAGUGUUUUGACGUUACCGACAGAAUAAGCACCGGCUAACUUCGUGCCAGCAGCCGCGGUAAUACGAAGGGUGCAAGCGUUAAUCGGAAUUACUGGGCGUAAAGCGCGCGUAGGUGGUUUUGUAAGUUGGAUGUGAAAGCCCCGGGCUCAACCUGGGAACUGCAUCCAAAACUGGCGAGCUAGAGUACGGUAGAGGGUGGUGGAAUUUCCUGUGUAGCGGUGAAAUGCGUAGAUAUAGGAAGGAACACCAGUGGCGAAGGCGACCACCUGGACUGAUACUGACACUGAGGUGCGAAAGCGUGGGGAGCAAACAGGAUUAGAAACCCCAGUAGUCC